UAGGGAAUCUUCCACAAUGGACGCAAGUCUGAUGGAGCAACGCCGCGUGAGUGAAGAAGGUUUUCGGAUCGUAAAGCUCUGUUGUUGGUGAAGAAGGAUAGAGGCAGUAACUGGUCUUUAUUUGACGGUAAUCAACCAGAAAGUCACGGCUAACUACGUGCCAGCAGCCGCGGUAAUACGUAGGUGGCAAGCGUUGUCCGGAUUUAUUGGGCGUAAAGCGAGCGCAGGCGGACUGAUAAGUCUGAUGUGAAAGCCCACGGCUCAACCGUGGAACUGCAUCGGAAACUGUCAUUCUUGAGUGCAGAAGAGGAGAGUGGAAUUCCAUGUGUAGCGGUGGAAUGCGUAGAUAUAUGGAAGAACACCAGUGGCGAAGGCGGCUCUCUGGUCUGCAACUGACGCUGAGGCUCGAAAGCAUGGGUAGCGAACAGG
rnacentral:rRNA from 2 species